AUGGGUAUUGGCCUCAAACCAUUAGAAUUCACGGAUUGCUUAACCGAUAGCCCUUAUUUUCGAGAAAAUCUUCAUUAUCAUGAACGUGAAUUGGAGAAAACUAGCCAACAAAUUAAACGACUUAUUAAAGAGGUCAAAGAUCUUUUAAUAGCUGCCAAAAAAUUGUCCAGAGCUCAAAGAGCAUUUUCAAAAACAUUGCAAAAUUUUAGUUUUGAAUGUAUAGGAGAAACUCAAACUGAAGAUGAAACUCACAUAUCACAAAGCCUUAAAGAGUUUGGUAAACUUAUUGCAUCAAUAGAAGAUGAAAGGGAUCGCAUGCUUGAACGUGCUUAUGAUCAAAUUAUACUUCCUUUGGAAAAUUUUAGGAAAGAACAUAUUGGAGGUGUUAAGGACGGGAAAAAAAAGUUUGAAAAGCAAACAAUUAAAUUUUGUCAAAGUCAAGAACGUUAUUUAAAUUUGUCUACAAAAAAACAAGACAAUGUUCUUCAAGAGGCCGAUGCAACAUUGGAAAUGGCUGAGAGACAUUUUUGCCAAGCUAGUUUAGAAUAUGUAUUUUUGCUUCAAGAAGUACAAGAACGUAAAAAAUUUGAAUUUGUUGAAACUUUAUUAGGUUUUAUGUUUGGUUGGUUAACUUUUUAUCAUCAAGGACAUGAAGUUGCAAAAGAUUUCAAACCUUAUAUGACUGAAUUACAAUUAAAGAUACAGAAGACUAGAGAAAAUUUCCUUGCUACCCGGGAUAAAACAGAAUCACUUAUGAAUAAAAUGAAGGAUAUGAAAAAGUCUGCUGUAGAAACUGGAGUCAAUAAAUUGUAUACACGUGAAGGUUAUUUGUUUCUAAUGGAAAAAAAAGCAUUUGGUACAACAUGGACAAAACAUUAUUGUACUUAUCAAAAAGACAAAAAGGAAUUUAUAAUGAUACCUUAUAAUCAACUUACAGGAAAGUUUAGUAGUAAAGAAGUAUUAACAUUAGCAUCUUGUGUGCGUCGUAUGUCAGAUACAAUUGAGAAACGAUUUUGUUUCGAUAUCACUACUGUUGAUAAGCAUAAUGUAGUAUACACAUUCCAAGCACUUUCUGAAGAAGAUAGAAAGCUAUGGCUUGAUGCCAUGGAUGGUAAAGAACCAAAUUAUCCUAUAGUAAGUACAUCGACGAAAUCUGAAGAAACUAUUUUAGAUGAAACAGGUUUUAUGUUUGUAUCAAAAUGCAUUGCAAUACUCGAGGAAAGAGGCCUUGAAGUGCAAGGUUUAUAUAGAGUUGUUGGUGUUGCUUCCAAAGUAAAUAAACUUUUAGCAAUGGGAUUAGAUAGAAGGAAACUAGAAAAACUUAAUCUGGAUAAUCGUUUUGAAUGGGAAAGUAAAACUAUUACUAGUGCAUUAAAAACAUAUUUAAGGACGCUAUCUGAACCGUUAAUGACUUUCCGAUAUUAUAAUAGUUUUAUUUCAGCUGCGAAACAAGAAAUCAAAGAAGCACGUAUCAAUGAUAUUCAUAAUCUUGUUUAUCGGCUUCCAAAAGCAAAUUUUAAUAUGUUAGUUCUACUUAUUAAACAUUUAUAUAGUGUGGCAAAGAAAAGUGAUAAAAAUUUAAUGACUAUUGGAAAUUUGGCUGUAUGUUUUGGCCCAUCUUUAUUGCGACCAGAAGAAGAAACAGUAGCUUCUAUAAUGGAUAUUAAAUUUUACAAUAUUGUAGUUGAAAUUUUAAUUGAAAAUUGUGAAAGAAUAGUUGCUGGUCCACCACAGGAUACUGUAUGUAAUAUAUCAUCAACACAAAAUGCUAUUUCCUCUAGAUCACGCACAGAAGAUGCAUCAACAUCUUGUGGUAAUGGUACUCCUUUUUUAAGGUACCCAGUACAUUCUAAUAUAUCUUCACCACAUGGUCAUCUUGUUACGAGAUCAUAUUAUGAUAGUCCAUUAACAUCUAUUGAUGAUCUAAAACUUGGAGAUUAUGAAGAAACAGAGCACAUGAAUCACAGAAUGUUAACAUAUUUAAAUAAUCGAAGUGGACGAGUUAAAUUAACUAAUGCGAAUCUUAUGUAUUCUGCAGAUAAAGUAUUAACCAGUGGUAAUACAAGUAGUUCAAGUGAAUCAAUUGCUUCUGAUCCGCAUUCAUUUUCAUCUGAUUUACCAGUAAAACAAAAACGUAGUUCUAUGAUGUCAGUUCAUUAUCCAUCAAGUUAUGCUCAACGAAGCAAUCCAUCAGUAUCUGUAGUUAAUACCUCACCUACUAGUGGACGUUCAAGCCCUGGACAAGUACCUGGUAUUUGGUAAACAUAAAAUUCUUGUCAAACAUCAUUAUGUAAUUCAUUAUGAGAGUUCGCACUUUGUAUGCUUGUGUAGCUGAAAGCGAUGGAGAAUUAUCAUUUGAACCAAAUCAAAUUAUUACUAAUGUAAAGGCCUCUUUGGAACCAGGAUGGUUAGAAGGGACAUUAAAUGGUAAAACAGGAUUAGUCCCAAAGAAUUAUGUAGAACAAUUGCCUUGAAUUUCGAAAAACCAAAGAGUGCCUAUAUUGUUUUUAUAUUUCAUAAAUUGUAGAAUGUAUUUAGUAUUAUUGUUUAUUGGAACAUAUGUUCGCGAAAAUAAGAAUUGCUGCAAUGAUGUAUGGAACAUGAUGUUUUCUAUUUAAAUUUUUUUGGGUACAAUUUACAUAGUCAAUUACAUACAUACAUGCGUGCGCAUAGGCGCACAUACACGUAAAAAUAUAUAUCUUAUUUAUUAGGAGCCUUUUUGCUCAAAAACGUUUAUAGUGUAUAUAAUCACUUGUAGAAAAAUUUAUAUAUAUCUACAUAUAUAGUGCUAAUAUAUUACUUAAUAUUUAAAUAUAUUUGUACUAAAAGAUAUUGAUUCAAUAUAUAGCUUUUAGGAAAUCUUAUAGGCAAUAAUAUUUGUUUAUAAUACGAUAAUCUUUACGCGUACGUGCACAUGUAUGUGUACACACAUAUAAUUAUCAGAAUGUGAUAAAAUAAAUAAAUACCAAAUACCAUCAGAAUUUUUAAUAAAGAUUUUAAUAAUAUGAA
rnacentral:misc_RNA from 1 species